rnacentral:lncRNA from 10 species
CUGGCUUGGAAGUGGCAGGUUCUGGUAAUACUGCUAAUUGUGGUUUGCUCCUGACUCCUUCUUUGCUCUGCGAAUGCUUCCAUUCUGUUAGUCACCCUGGAGAAUAAAUAAACUCAUUUGUCUGACCUCAUUCUCGACAAGGGCAGAUCGAAAUUCCACGGGGAAAUUACAGAAACAGCACUCCACUCCUUGCAAGGUGGUUGCCAGUGUCAAGGCAACCUCACCAACUGUGAAGGUAUCCUGAGCUCCUGGAACAGGCAGAAAAGAAACCUGGCAGGAAGAUUUGGAGGUGGCUGCAAGCUGGCCUGACUUCUGCAGUGAAACAAGUCCCAGGAGCUGGAGGUACACCAUGCUGAGCUCCUGUUUCCUUGCAAGAUAACAGGUGUUCAGUGCCCCAAAAGGUGUUUCUUGCUUUGUCCUGUGACUGUGGACCACCUCUUCCCUGGGCAAUCCAGAGAGCUCUUCCACCAUCCAACAGCUGCAACCACACUGGCUCCAAAAAAGUCUGAACCCAACUUUUGAAGAGGGAUGCACCUUCCAUGUCUGCCUCUCCUUGGGAGAGAAGAUGAAAUAUUUCCAUCUUCACUGACAAGGACUUCUGGCAAUUUGGAUGAAUGAUGCCAAGAGAAGAAAGCAACCAGCUUAUAAACUUCCUAAGGAAGCAAAUUUCAAAAGAAACCCCAAACAUCACGAAUCACAAGCUGCUUUGUUUUCUUAUUCAUGACCUUCAUCUACCUUCCCUUUCAUCAAGUAAAUGGAAAUGUGUCAUUCUGAUUAACGGUGCAGUGCUCCUCCAAUGCCUACCCAAAAGAGUUGGUUAUUCAUGAAAUAUUUGUAGAAUGAAUUAAUGAAGACCUACUUGUUUACAGGUCUGCCUGUCCAAUGUGGUGUGAGUCUUAUUUUGCAUGAAACCUAUUGGAGAAAUUAAUAAAAAGGUACAUUAUAUAUGUUUUAAAAAGCUUAUUAGUUGUAAAAUAAUACAGAUACAAAAAACUGCAUUAAAUAAAUGCUUAGUUUAAUAAACUAUUAUAAGGUCAACACUUUGUAACCAUGACCCAAAUCAAGACAAAGAAAUCUGCCAGACACCUCAUAAACCCUCUAUACAAUCAUUUUAACAACAAUUCCCUUCCCUACACCCUCAAAAGUAAUCUUUGUCCUCACUUUUAUGGCAAUCGCUUCUGAGCUUUCCUUUACAGUUUUAUCACCUGAUUAUACAUCCCUAUAUUUCAUUUCCCCUGUUAUUUUUAUGUCUCUAUUAGUCUACAGGUUACCCUUUGGUCUCUCCACAUUUGUUUCUCAUGUAAUUUAUUUGUUGAAGAAAACAAGUGUGUCCUAUAGAGUUUCUUACUAUCUGGAUUUUGCUGAUUGCAUCUCUGUGGAUCUACUGGAUUGAUCAUUGGGUUUAAUUUUUGGCAAGACAACUAUAGAGAUAUUAAUAGUAUUGUAUUCUUCUAUCACAGCCAUGUGAUGUACGGUUGUGUCUUUACUUAUGAUAACAGCAAAUGUACAAUGCCUAGAUCUAUUAAUUUAUCUGAGUUGCAAAAUAGUAAUAUUCUAAUUUAAUCAUUCUUCAUUUAGUUAUUAGUUGAAAUAAUUCUAUAAAGAUAAAAUUCACUCAUCUACUGCUUGGUUAUCAGGGAUGAAACUCAUAUAGAAAAGACAGAUUAUUUUUUGCCCUCAUUAUUUACCAGUUUAAAAAAUAAGUGGUUAUUAUUUUCAAAAAUGACAAAUUAUUUUCUAUCCUUAUGAAUUCAUAAAUUUAAACAUAUUUAUUGAGCUUCAGUUCACCGAAAAUAUUAUCCUUACUGAACAUAAAUUGUCUGAUCUUUGUCCAGUGGGAAAAUCAUUAGUUCCUUUGUCCUUUUGACAUAAUCCUAAUAGUUUUCUAGCUUCCUUGCUAACGAGGUAUGUGUAUGACACAAUCUCCUAGGCUCAUCUUGUACAAAUUCUGCCCAGACCUAGAAUCCUCUAAUUUCCCAAGAAUAGCUGUUUUCUUUUAGUGGGAAAUAGUAUUUCAAGAUCAUAAUCUGGGUCCUAGAGAUGUCAUUGCUAUUGGGUUGCUUUCUCUUUCUAAGCCUUUUCAGUACACGAGUAUGAACUCACAAUGUAUAUGAUACUUCCAAUUUAAAUUCAGUACCACAGGAUUUUUACUUGACCUUUUCUACCUGGCAUUUAUAUUUACUUUCUUCCAUGCCAGAAUACUGAUUCUAGAGAACACAGGGGAUUCAAGAAUUAGAAAAUCACAUAAUUGCCCAUGUGAUUUAUUUCAUUAUAUAUGAAACAGACUCAGCAUUAGCAAUUCUUCUACUAUAAAUAUAUAUAGCACUCAGUAUCAAGCUGUAUGUUAAUAACUCUCUAGUUAAUUUGGUUUAUUGGAAUUUACUCUCACUAAAUUCCUCAGAAAAAGCUCAUGGGAAAAAUAUUCUCCAAGUCAUUGAGUUUGCCUGAGCCCUUCAUGUGAAUGUCAAUUUAGUUGGAUAUAAAAUUUUUAGCUCACACAUCUUUCCUUAAUUAUCUUAAAUAUAUUAUUCUAUUUCCUUACAGUAUAAAGCAAUGUUGUAGGAAAGUCUACUGAAAGCCUGAUAUUGUCUAUUAUAAGUGAUUUGAUCUUUUUGCCUGGAUGCCUAAAUUUUUGUUUUUCUUCAAAGUCUAAUAGUUUUAUUAACUUUCUCUCAGUGUUGGUUAUUUUGGGUCAGUUUCCUUAGUUAUGUGGUGUGUAAUUUCAAUAUGUAAUUUAAACAAUUGUUUUGGGAAACUUUUGAAAUUAUAGUUUUGGGUAUUUUUUUGUUCCCUCAUUUUGAUUUUCUUUGGAGCCCUUAUUAUACGUAUGUUGGAUCUCCUUUGACUGCCUUCUAAAUUUGUCACUUUCCCUCAAAUCCUUAAAAAAAUUUCCAUUUUUAUCCUUUCUGAGUGAUAUAACUUCAUUUAUAAAUCUUCCUAAUUUGGAAUUAUGUAUUUUUCCACAUCAUGUGACAUUUUCUUAGGUUUUUUUUUUAGCUUGUUAGAAAUAGUGGGUUGUAGUUUUUAUUUGAAGGGGGAUGGGCCUGUAUUAGUAGCAUUUUUAAAUUUUUUGUGAAGCUAUUUUACUCUUUAUUAUUUUUUAAAUAAGAUUAUACCUAUGUCUUAGUACAUUUUGUGUUGCUGUUACAGAAUACCACAGACUGGAUAAUUUAUAAUGAAGAAAAAUUUAUUGGCCCACAGUUCUGAAGGCUGGAAAGUCCAAUAUCAAGUUGUCAGCAUCUGGCAAGAGUCUUCUUGCUGCAUCUUGACAUGGUAGAAGAGCAAAGAGAGAGGGAAAGGAGGCUGAACUUUCCCUUUUAUAAGAGCAUAGUCCCCCUUAAAUUGAGUUAUUUAUUAAAGGUCCUACUACUUAAUAUUGUUAUAAUGGCAAUUAGUUUCAACACAAGUUUUGGAAGUGACAAAUACUCAAACCGUAGCAACUGUGAUCUUUUCCUGUUGCCCAUUUCUAUGUAAAAUUUGCUCUUUUAAACUUUUUUUAUUUUUUGAGACAGAGUUCCACUCUUGUCACCUAGGCUGUAGUGCAAUGGUGAGAUCUCAGCUCACUGAAGCCUCCGCCUCCUGGGUUCAAGCAAUUCUCCAGCCUCAGCCUCCUGAGUAGCUGGGAUUACAGGCUCCCACCACCACUCCCAGCUAAUCUUUUGUAUUUUUAGUAGAGACGGGGUUUUGCCAUGUUGACCAGGCUGUUCUUGAAAUCCUGACAGGUCAUCCACCUGCCUCAGCCUCCCAAAGUGCUGGGAUUACAGGUAUGAGCCAACACGCUCAGCAUCUUUUCAACUUUUAAUCGGGAUAUAGUUCAGUAUAGUUUUACUAACUUUUCCAACUUUAGGCUUUACAGCACCUUCUCCUUUCGUUUUCAUGCAGUUUUCAAAACAUACAGCAGCUUGUUCUCUGAGAUCUCUUACCUCUAGGCACUUCUUCCACUUUUAUCUUUACCUUCUCUUUCCCUUGUCUUUAUACUGCUCAGUUUGGGUCCUGCUCUCAACAGUUUGUCCUCAGUGAGUGACUACCCUGGAAGGAAGUUUCAAAUGUUCAAGAAACCCAGACCAUUCCACUCCUUUAGAUCUUACUGUUAACUCUUUUUAUUCACCUGCUAGUAGAGUACACAAAGCCUCUCCCAGUUUUGGCUACUUUCCAUUGAGUACAUGUUGGACAUUUGGGGAUCCUGAGGCAUGUCAACUGCUUUGUUUCUCCCCUUAGCUUCCUCCUGCUAAAUUAUGGCUGAUAUAAUGUGGGCCCUUGUUGCUAUUAAUGAUUUGUCUCCCCAAAAUCAUAUUUUUGUCAAUUUAAUUUGUUAAUGACAUUCAUGUGUUUUGGUUUUGCUAUCUUUUUGCUCUAUUUUUUAAAAAAAUUGAGGAUAUUUAAAACUUCUUCUGCCACUGCCACAAUAUUCCAAGAUAUUUAUAUUUUUGUAUGUUAUUGAUAUAGUAAUACAAAUUGAAAUAUAGUAU